ACCAUAUUCAUACAUAUAUUAGUACAUGCAUACGUCCCGUACCAUAUUGAUUAUACACCUAAACCACUAUCUCCUAUCCUGACUUGGCUGCCCUACGACAACGGUCGUCUGAGAUCGUUGUCGAACUUGACCCCGACAAAUCGAACAGCCUAGCACAUCGUAUCAAACAGUUUGCAACCACCUCCUUACACCGAGCCUCCUGACCACUGUUCAACUCUGACCUCAACCAACCAAAAUAGGCCACGUGUCCUGACAUUCGACACCACCUUCCCAUAUCUGCCUGUGAAUUGUACUAUAGUACCCAGUAUGUCAGCCUUGGUCGGUAAGUUACUCCACUAUAAAAGGUCCUCUCCUCCUAGACCUAUUGCUCUCUCAUUUUCUUCAACCCUCAACUCAUUCACAGCUCUCUUGCAUCCUACAUCUACCAUUUCUAUACCAAUAUUUACACUUUACAAUUCUUAUAUCUUUGUUUUGACCAACCUGAUUCCGAUUAACUGACUUGAGCGUCGGGGGUUCUUUAACAGGUACCCCACAGGUGCCCAAGUUCUUUGACCUCAUCCUUGCUUUGUUUCACAGGAUCCUGCUAUAAAAGGUCUCUGUAUAAAGACGUUGACUAUUCAACAAUUGUAGAUUCGGGUAUCUACAUCCCCUGAUUUUAAUUUCAUUUAAUUAACGGGAGCUUCUUUUGCUUCUUUCUUUCUUCUUCAGCUUGGUGUCAUUCUUUAGCUCGCCUUUUGUGCUUCCUGAUUGUGUUUCGUUCUGUUGGAACGUGUUUGGUUGUUUUGCUUUUUCUUCUCUAUCACCCUUUCUUUCUGUUGUUGUGGGAUUCAUUGUUUGUGGUUCUUUUGUGGGUUGGGUAUUCAGUUCGUACCAGUUAUUGGUUAUGGUUUAUGUGGUUUCAAUGUAGGGAGAUCAUCAAUAACAUAGAUAUUGCAAUUCCUAUAUCGUUAUUGCUGUUAUGAUUUUGUUGGACCAUAUGUGCAAUGUUGUCGUUAUUCUUUUUGUUCCUGUAGAGAGACGAUUCUCCUGGCAAUGAAAGGGGAUUUUGCCUAGGGUCUCUGUAGAUUGACAAAGAACUCAAGAAAGAGGCAUCAUUCGUUUGAUUCUUGGUGAUUGUUGUUGGCCAUAGUUCGUUGUUGGGCCACUGAACACUGAGUUUGUCGUCCACAAUUGUCACUACAACUGAGGUUUGUCUUUGCAAUCCUUAACAGGCACUUUUCCGUCCACGAUUUGCUCUCCAACUAAGAUGCUAUUGACCUGUAUUCUACCUCAGUUGUGGAUCUAAAGACAGUCUGCUGUUUCUUUGAUCUCCAAGGCAUAGGAGAAUUGCCAAGCAUGACAGUAUAGCUUGUUGUGGAUCUUCUGCUAUCUGGACAAGUAGCCCAAUCAGCAUCGCAGAAAGAUAUGAUAUCAGUGGAAGUUCCUGCAGGAAAAAAUAGAGCUUGUCCAGUUGUCCCCUUGAGCUUAUGUCUGGUCUGGUGAGGGUAAGGUACAUCAGCUUCCCAAUCAACCUUCUGUAUAGCAUGGGGUCUUCAAGUGUUUGGCCAUGAUGUAAAGACAGUUUUUCAUUUGUAUCCAUAGGAGAGUUUGCAGCUUUACAAUCCUUGAAAUUGGCAUCAAGAAGCAAAUCCAAAAUAUACUUUCUUUGACAUAUUGUCAUACCUGCCUUUUUAUUGUGUAUUUCCAAACCGAGGAAAUAUUUUAGAUCUCCUAGGUCUUUAAUUUUCAAAAAAGUGCCAAUGUAAUGUUUCACUUCUGUUAUUAAUUCUGAGUCAUUUCCUCCAAUGGCCAUAU